UACGUAGGGUGCGAGCGUUGUCCGGAAUUAUUGGGCGUAAAGAGCUCGUAGGCGGCUAGUCACGUCGGAUGUGAAAACCCGAGGCUCAACCUCGGGCCUGCAUUCGAUACGGGCUGGCUAGAGUACUGCAGGGGAGACUGGAAUUCCUGGUGUAGCGGUGAAAUGCGCAGAUAUCAGGAGGAACACCGGUGGCGAAGGCGGGUCUCUGGGCAGUAACUGACGCUGAGGAGCGAAAGCGUGGGGAGCGAACAGG
rnacentral:rRNA from 1 species